rnacentral:snoRNA from 1 species
GUGCUAUGAAGAAACAGAACUCUCUCACUGAAUGUAACAUGUGGUUCACCUACAUUAUCAGAGCACA